UGCAAUAUAGCAUCUAAAAUUGCAUAUGAUCGUGUGCGUUUUGUUUUUCAGAAAUACAUGUCAGAUAAUCUUUGAACUGUUGAUGCAUUGGAUGGUUUGCUGGAUACGCUGAAAGCAACACACAUCAGUUUGAAUGACUUGACCUUAAUGCUUCUCCAGUACUUCUUUUGAUCUUUUUAAAGAACUGGAUGGAGCCAACAAUGAAAAUACUCAUGUAGUAGCAGUACCAACAAAUACUUCACCAGAUCAUAUUCCAUAAAUUUCUUUCUUGAAGAAUUAUAGACUGACCCAAAUUAAAUGAGGCAGUUAGCCAGUAUCUCCAGUGACCUUCCAUGAGAGAACUUAAAGAUACUUGAGUAGGUGUUAUAGGCUAGCCUCUUUGGUAGAAUUUCUUGAGAAGGCAUUGCUGUGUAAACAUGAAAGCUUACUUUGUCCACAGGACCGAAACUACACUCAGAGAAUUGGCUUCAGAUAUCUACAGAUAUCAGCUGCAGAUAUUCAGCGCUCAAGCUUCCCGCAGCAAUUGAUGCAGUUGCGGACACGUCUUAUUUAGCUUAGAUCAUCCGAUUGCAACAUUAUGAAUGUUUUUUUGUUACCAGUUUGCUCUACGCUAUACUACAUAAGAUACACUAUAGAAGA